GUUUUUAUAGUUUAAUUAAAACAUUGGUCUUGUAAAUCAAAAAUAAAAUUAUUUUUUAAAAACA
rnacentral:tRNA from 1 species